rnacentral:rRNA from 1 species
UACGUAGGGUGCAGGCGUUAAUCGGAAUUACUGGGCGUAAAGCGCGCGUAGGUGGUUGUUAAGUUGGAUGUGAAAUACCCCGGGCUCAACCUGGGAACUGCAUUCAAAACUGACAAGCUAGAGUAUGGUAGAGGGUGGUGGAAAUUUCCGUGUGUAGCGGUGAAAUGCGUUGAUAUAGGAAGGAACACCGAGUGGCGAAGGCGACCACCU